AGGUAUGCUUGGGCUCCAGGCCAGUGAUGCACAGAAGAUGAAAUGACUGUCUGCUUUAUUGGAGGCACAGCAUGCUUGAUUCCUGUGAGGUAUUUACCUUGCUGUGGAUUGCUGACUGGAUGGUCCAUCACUUCUGGAGGAAAGGAAAGGACCCGGAUAGUUUCUCCAUCCCCUACCUAACAGCAUUGGGUGAUCUGCUCGGGACAGCUCUGUUAGCCUUAAGUUUUCAUUUUCUUUGGCUUAUUGGAGAUCGAGAUGGAGAUGUUGGAGACUAAUAAAUUCUACAAACUGCUCUCAAGUUACCAAGGAAGAAAAUACACAACCACUUAUGGCUCUUUUUCAGUAGUUUGACUUUUGCCAGGGUAAUCUUCAGUUGGCCCUGAUUCAAUUAAAUGGCCUUAAUUUUUUUUUAAGGAAUUUGUGUCAAAACCAGAA
rnacentral:sRNA from 1 species